rnacentral:tRNA from 1 species
GGCUUCGUAGCUCAGCUGGCACAGUGCUUGCUGCAUUGAGGCAUGCUGUGUCUGUCGCUGAUUCGAAUCCAGCCGAAGCCC